AACGAACGCUGGCGGCAGGCCUAACACAUGCAAGUCGAGCGCCCUUUCGGGGGAGCGGCGGACGGGUGAGUAACGCGUGGGAAUAUGCCCUUCUCUACGGAAUAGUCCUGGGAAACUGGGGGUAAUACCGUAUACGCCCUUUGGGGGAAAGAUUUAUCGGGGAAGGAUUAGCCCGCGUUGGAUUAGGUAGUUGGUGGGGUAAUGGCCUACCAAGCCGACGAUCCAUAGCUGGUUUGAGAGGAUGAUCAGCCACACUGGGACUGAGACACGGCCCAGACUCCUACGGGAGGCAGCAGUGGGGAAUCUUAGACAAUGGGGGCAACCCUGAUCUAGCCAUGCCGCGUGAGUGAUGAAGGCCUUAGGGUUGUAAAGCUCUUUCAGCUGGGAAGAUAAUGACGGUACCAGCAGAAGAAGCCCCGGCUAACUCCGUG
rnacentral:rRNA from 1 species